AACCACGCGUACCCAUCCCGAACACGACCGUUAAGCCCUCCAGCGCCGAUGGUACUUGGACCGCAGGGUCCUGGGAGAGUAGGACGUUGCCAAGC
rnacentral:rRNA from 1 species